CAAAACCAAAAAUAGGCUCCCAGAUCUGCUCCACAAAAAAAAAAAAAAAAGACAUAAUAAGCAUGACAUCUUUAAACUGGUUUAAAAAUGUCCAGUCCCAUAAAUUAGAUAUUCUAGAAGCCACUAGUGUUUAGUAACCAUGUGAGUUUAUUAAUGGUCCUUGAAGCAGGGAGCACUUUGGUAUAGCUUCCCCUGAUGCUUGAUUUUCAAAAGCUUAUGAACUGGAAAAAAUCUGCUUUUGUUAGAUUCCAUUCUGUCACCAGAGAUACUUAGUUUUAUGUAACAAAAUGUUUCCAGUGUGCUUUGAAAAUGUGGCCAUUUCUAAUGUGACUACAAAACAUUAGCCAUAUAUAACAAACAUCUAUUGCAAAUGCUGAAUGCACAUCAACAUUUGCAGGGAUCUAAAGAUAUGUUACAGAUGUAUAAAUUUAUUCAAAAUUAAAGGAUAUCCAAUGAAUCAAAAUGCCUCCUAAAGUAAAUAUAAGCUCCCAAGCUGGAUCUAUUAUCAAGGUACUAAAGAUCUACAACCUGUUAAUAUUUAUUUUUUCACUCAUAAAAAAUGA
rnacentral:lncRNA from 1 species